rnacentral:lncRNA from 10 species
GCACAGUGCCUGUGCUGAGUACCACUCAGCAAACUGAGGCUGACGCUGUGGUUGUUACUUGGAGGGUCUGGGCUUAUAACCCCCCACUGCCCGCCACAACACACACACACAGGCGCACACACAUCCAUGCACUCGCACACACAUGCACGUGCACGUGCACACACAUCACAGGUUACCUCCUUCAACAUUGUGUACAGGCACACACACACAUCCAUGCACUCACACACACACAUGCACAUACACGUGCACGCGCGUGCGCG